rnacentral:lncRNA from 1 species
AGAAAUCUGACCACCAGGCCAAGGAAUGCCUGCAGCCCAGGAUUCCUCUUAAGCCAUGUCCCGUCUGUGCAGGACCCCACUGGAAAUCAGACUGUUCGACUCACCUGGCAGCCACUCCCAGAGCCCCUGGAACUCUGGCCCAAGGCUCUCUGACUGACUCCUUCUCGGCUUAGCAGCUGAAGACUGAUGCUGCCUGAUCACCUCGAAAGCCCCGUAGACCAUCACAGACGCCGAGCUUCGAGUAACUCUCACAGUGGAAGUGCUGUGCUGCCUUCUGAAUUCUCCUACAAAAAGCAGUGGCCAGGUCGUAUGGUCCUUACAUUCCAGGAAAUUGUAAAGCUCUUCAAACUCUUCAAAUUAUAAAACUCUUCUCUUGAAGACAACCCCUUUUCUUGGCAAAGAGGCAAGAGAAAAUACCAUAAAGAGGAGGGGUGGGAUUAGAGGAGUAAAUGGACCUUACAACUUCUCUUUUGUAACCUAGAGAUUAACAACAGGCUAAAGCUUGCAGAUCCAGUUUCACAGUGUUUUUUUGCACAUGCUGUAGAGGUGAUGCAGCAGCUUCCUGAUGUCCAGGGUUUUGGUGUAUAU